CACAACUUGACGGUACAACUACUUCUAGGUCAGGAUUAACGCUACUAUGCGUAUUAAAUUUCAGGCCUGCCUGAAUGCACAUGUUGUUUAUUUAUUAAAUACUUUUUUUCUGUGUUACCAGUAGAUAAAGUGACAACUACUUUUGAUAACAUAUAGUAAAGUGACGGGGGGGGAAGCGGACGAGAAGGUCUAUACAUCUAGACCUAAACGGAAGAUUUUCUCUUUAAGAACAAAAUAGGCUGCUUAACAAAGACAGCCAUGAAGUUGGAGUUAAUUUGACAAACGAGCCAUCUCUCCAUCCCUCCCCUCCUCCUCGCUCUCUCUCUCUGCGAUGCCCCGCUCCUUCCUGGUGAGGUCUAAGAGGGGGUCCUGUCACUCCUCCCGGCCGCCCAGAGACGUCAGCUCUUACCUGCGCCCGGUGGAAUCGCCCGAGUCCCUGAGGAACGCAGGCACUGAGUGGGCCGCCCCUGUCAGGACCCCUGUGCCACCGAAGGACCCGGGGACGGGCGCGGUGGAGGCUGUGCCCUCCCCCCCGUCCCCCUCGCUCUCCAGCUGGCCCGAAGCCUCCAAAGACGUCUCCCCUACACACCCUCACAUCUGGCGCUCUCUGCACCCCAAAGACCCGAGCAGGCGGCAGCCUCAUGACCCCCAUGACCCCACACACCCCUGCGAGUCGUCCCAGGAGCUCCAGAGGCUGCUGGAAGUGUAUCAGCGGGGUGGCGGCCAAGCUGCAGGCUGUCCUCAGAUCAGUGUCAGCGCCUCCCCUCUGGGGUCAUACCCAUUCUGUAGUAAGGGUUUCUCCUCUGUCUCCGGGUCAGAGGCCAUCAUACACAGGGC
rnacentral:lncRNA from 1 species